GACGAACCGUGCGAACGUUGUUCGGAAUCACUGGGCUUAAAGGGCGCGUAGGCGGGUCGAAAAGUCCGUGGUGAAAUCCCCCCGCUCAACGGGGGAACGGCCGCGGAUACUGUCGGCCUCGAGGGGGGUAGGGGCGAGCGGAACGCUGGGUGGAGCGGUGAAAUGCGUAGAUAUCGGGAGGAACACCAGUGGCGAAGGCGACUUCCUGGCCUGUUCUUGACGCUGAGGCGCGAAAGCUAGGGGAGCAAACGGG
rnacentral:rRNA from 1 species